rnacentral:lncRNA from 1 species
GCUGAAUUUAAAAAUGUACUUAGAUUUUUUAAUUAUUGGCCUAGUUUUCAAGUUGGUCCAAAUGGGGGUCCAAAAUUAAACUUUGUUUGAUUUCAUCAAAAAUUGAAUAAAUGGGUUCUUUGAUAUGCCAAAUCUAACUGUGUAUGUAGAUUCUUAAUUUUUGGUCCAGUUUUCAAAUUGGUCUACAUUAAGGUCCAAAGGGUCCAAAAUUAAACUAAGUUUGAUUUUAACAAAAAUUAAACUAUUGGGCUUAUUUGAUAUGCUUUAUCUAAACAUGUACUUUGAUUUUUGAUUAUGGGGCCCAGUUUUCAAGUUGGUCCAAAUCAGGAUUCCAUAUCAAGUAUUGUGCAAUAGCAAGAAAUUUUCAAUUGCACAGUAUUGCACAACAGCAAGAAAUAUCUAAUUGCACAAUAUUGUGCAAUAGCAAUUAAUUUUCAAUUGGAGUUAUCUUUCUUUGUAUAGAAUAGUAGUUGAUAAUAUAUGUUGGAAAUUUUCCAG